CAGAGCGGACCGGAGUCGAACCGGCGGACUUUGGAUUCACGUCUGGCGCGCUUCACUAGGCUUUAACCACCCAGCCACCGCUCC
rnacentral:tRNA from 1 species